AGAGUUUGGGAUCGGUCUCUUCUGUUCCGCGUCCUCCACCUCGGUAGCCCCUGGUGACUCUGUUACAGCCUCUGUUGACCUAUGAUCUGCAGGGAGACGCACAGCCAGGACAUCCUGGAACCUGGGAAAGGGGACUCUUGACGUUUAGGUAUGUGGCCAUAGAAUUCUCUCUGGAGGAGUAGCAGUGCCUGGACACUGCACAGCAGAAUUUAUAGAGGAAUGUUAUGAAAACCUGGCCUUCCUGGGUAUUACUGUCUCUAAGCCAGACCUGAUCACCUAUCUGGAGCGAGAAAAAGAGCCCUGGAAUAUGAAGUGACAUGAGAUGGUGGAUGAACCCCCAGGUAUAUGCCCUCAUUUUGCUUAAGACCUCUGGCCAGAGCAGGGCAUGGAAGAUUCCUUUUAAAAAGUAAUACUGAGAAGACAUGAAAAAUGUGGACAUGAUAAUUUACUGUUGAGAAAUGGCUGUAAAAGUGUGGAUGAGUGUCAGGUGCACAAAGAAGGUUAUAAUGGACUUAACAAGUGUUUCACAACUACUCAGAGCAAAGUAUUUCAAUGUGGUAAAUGUUUGAAAGUCCUUUAUAAAUUUUUAAAUUCAAACAAAAAAUAAGAUAUACUGGAAGAAAACCUUUCAAAUGUCAAAAAUGUGUCAAAUCAUUUUGCAUGCUUUCACACAAAACCCAACAUAAAAGCAUUUAUACUAGAGAGAAGUCCUACAAAUGUAAAAAAUGUGGAAAAACCUUUAAUUGGUCCUCAAUCCUUACUAAUAAUAAGAAAAUUCAUACUGAACAGAAACCUUACAAAUGUGAAGAAUGUGGCAAAGCUUUUAAGCAACACUCAACCCUUACUACACAUAAAAUAAUUUGUGCUGAAGAAAAACUUUACAGAUGUGAAGAAUGUGGCAAAGCAUUUUGCCAGCCCUCAACCCUAACUAGAUAUAAGAGGAUGCACAGAAGAAAGAAACUCUACAAAUGUGAAGAAUGUGGCAAAGCGUUUACCCAGUUCUCAACCCUUACGAAACAUAAGAGAAUUCAUACUAGAGGGAAACAUUACAAGUGUGAAGAAAGUGGCAAAGCAUUUAUCUGGUCCUCAGGCCUUACUGAACAUAGGAGAGUCCAUACUAGACAGAAACCCUACAAAUGUGAAGAAUGUGGCAAAGCAUUAAUUCAAUUCUCAACCCUAACUAGACAUAAGAGGAUACACACUGGAGAGAAACCCAACAAAUCUAUGUGGCAAACCUUUUAGCCAAAACUCAAACCUUACUAUAUAUAAGAUAAUUCAUACUGAAAAGAAACCCUACAAAUGUCAAGAAUGUGGCAAUGCUUUUAGCCAGUCCCCAUACCUUACUACACAUAAGGUAAUUCAUACUGGGAGAGACCCUACAAAUGUGAAGAAGGUGGCAAAGCAUUUCUAUGGUUCAUUACCCUAACUGGUCAUAAGAGGAUGCACACUGGAGAGAAACCCUACAAAUGUGAAGAAUAUGAAAAAGCUUUUAGCCAGUCAUCAAUCCUUACUCGACAUAAGAUAAUUCAUACUGGAGAGAAACCCUACAAAUGUGAAGAAUGUGGCAAAGCUUUCAGCCAGUCCUCAACCCUUACUACACAUAAGAGAAUUCAUACUGGAGAGAAACCCUACAAAUGUGAGGAACGUGGCAAAUCUUUUAACCUGUCUUCAAGCUUUACUAAACAUAAGGUAAUUCACAGUGGAGUAAAACCCUACAAGUGUGAAGAAUGUGGCAAAGCCUUUAGGCAGUCUUCAAUUUUUGCUAACCAUAAGAGAAUUCAUACUGGAAAGAAACCCUACAAGUGUGAAGAAUGUGGCAAAUCUUUUAACCUGUCUUCAAGCUUUACUAAACAUAAGGUAAUUCUUACUGGUUUAAAACCCUACAAAUGGGAAGAAUGUGCCAAUGCCUUUUCCUGGUCCUCAGCCCUAACUAAACAUAAGAAAAUUUAUACUUGAAAGCAACCCUACAAAUGGGAAAAAUUUGGCAAACCUUUAAUCCUUACAACUUAAUGCACAUAAGAUAACUUAUAUUGAAGAGAAAUAUUACAAGUGUGAAUAAUGUGUCAAAGCCUAUAAAAAGUCCUCAAUUCUUUACAGACAUAAGGUUAUUUAUACUGGAGAGAAACUUUGCAAACCUGAAAGAUGUGCCAAUGCUUUUGACAACAACUUAAGCUUUUCUAAACAUAAAGAAAAUCAUGCUGCUGAGAAUCCUAGAAGUGUGAAGAAUGUGACAAAGCCUUUAAAUGAUUGUCACACUUGAUUGUAGUCCACCAGGGUCAGUGGCAAAGUGGUGUCAUGAAUAGGGACUUCGAGGAAGUGAACGAGGAAGAUCUGCUGGAGCACAGGAAGUGAAAUAGACAAGAUGAAUGGGGACCCCAGGACAAAUAUGCUGGCAGUGGAUAUAAGGUCAGUGCUCUAAAAAAGUACUGGGAAUGGGAAGUUUCUGAAUGACGGUACCAUGGGGCAGCAUUUGUCUGUUGAAGAAAAACAUUAUGUGCAGUUGCCUAAAGUUGUGUUGAAACAGUCUGGAUCUCAAGUUAAUUCACAGACAUUAGCUAAACUUCUGCAGGAGGUUAUUACACAUAACCCAUUGUUUCCACAGGCAGGCCCUCUUGAUGUGGAAAAUUGGGACACAGUAGGAGAGGGAUUGAAAUGGGCUCAUCAAAAAGUCUCAAAGUAGACCCUUCUGUUUUUUCUGCUUGGGGUUUGGUUCGCAUGGUCCUACUGCUGCUGUCUCUUUAUUCUGCCAGGCAACAGAAGUCAGUUUCUGAGUCUCAAGAAUUAAAAAACUCAUUUGUUCCUCCAACAGUGCAUAUUGAAAAUAAUGAGCAGGAGAAAGGGGGAGAAUUGGCCAUUUGCUAAGCAGAAAAAAAGAGAGGAGAAUUGGCCUCUGCCACCCCCUCCAAUAACAGAAGUAGAAACCCCCACACAACAAAUUUUGCAUGCUGCUGCUAUGGCAAGGGAACUUUUGGGACCUUAUGCUUUUCCUAUUACCAUAAGGCUUGAUCUGAAUGAUCCACCACAUUUUUGACAUGAACACACUCUUGUAGAGUUUAAAUUACUAAAAGAAUUAAAAACUGGUGUGGUUAAUAAUGGAGUGCAAAGCCCAUUCACUAUAGGGCUGUUAGAAUCGGUGUUCAGAGCCAUGUGCCUUCCACCUUUUGAUGAAAAACCUUUGGCUUGCACUUGCUUAUCCACCAGUGCAUAUCUGACAUGGAGUUUAAAUUGGCAAGAAAUGUGUGCAGACCAGGCUAGGCAGAAUCGCACCGCUCUUCAAGGAAACACUACAGAGGAAAUGUUGAUGAGCUGUGGCCCCUUUUCAGAUCUGGUACAACAAUUAACACUCCCAUCAGAGAGGCCACUUACCACCAGUCUUCCUUAGCCACCAAGCAUGUUUGGAGCACAAUUCCUGAAGAGGGAGUUACAGUGCAGUCUUUUCUACAUGUCACACAGGGAUCACAGGAGCCUUAUGCACAAUUUAUCGCAUGGCUGCAAGAUGCAGUGCAGCAUCAGAUCACUCAUGCCUCUGCUGCAGAAAUGCUUACCAUAGCUCUAGCCUAUGAAAUGCAAAUGCAGAUUGCAAGCAUGCUCAAGCAAUGGCUAGUUUAAUAGUUGACAAAUCUAAAAGGAGCCAAGGAUCAAACCCUAAAGUGGGAGAAUGUUAUAAUUAUGGAAAAACUGGACAUUUUAAAAAGGAAUGCCACCCCAGACCUCAGGACAAAAAGGAUCUUACAAUGUGGUGCCCCCCCCCGCCCAGUGGAAAUAAUGCCAGGACUCUGUCCUCUCUGUAACAAAGGAAAUCAUUGGGCUCACCGAUGCCACUCAAAAUUUCAUCACAAUAGCACCCCCUGUCAGGAAAUGAGAAGGAGGCCUGGACCCAGGCCCCUCAAGCCAUGAGGGCAUUCCCAGUUCAGACCACAACCCCACUUCAGGGGUGGGUCCCAGGAGGAAUAUUGAUUGAUUCCCUCUCCCCAGGAACACCAGGAAGUGCAGGAUUAGAUAUCCCCACCAGAGAUAGAAUUACAUUAGUUGGAGAAGACAAACCUUCCAAAGUUCCCACUGGCAUUUGGGGACAUUUGCCAGCAGAAUACAUGGGACUAAUUUUAGGCAAAAGCUGCCUUAACUUGCAAGGCAUCACUGUAGUCCCCAGAGUAGUUGACUCUGGUUAAGGAGAAAUUCAAAUAGUUUUAAUGUCAAAAGAUCUUUGUGUUUUUGAACCAGGGGAAUAUAUAGCACAAUUAUUGCUUAUCCCCUGCAAAUUACACCCUUCUGCAUGAAAGGAGAAAUGAGGAAAUAAAGGGUUUGGGAGCACAACUACAUGCAAAAUCUAUCUAUUCCAACCCUUAGCCUCUAAUAGACCCACCUGUUUGGUACAAAUUAAAAAAAAAUGUAUGGGCUUAUGGACACAGGAGCUGAUGUGUCAGUAAUAUCCAGUAAGGAUUGACCCCCAUCCUGGCCCCUCAGACUAAUCUCCACAUCCCUAGUGGGAGUAGGAGCAGCUCAAAGUGUUCAACGGAGUGCUGAGAUUUUACCUUGUCUUGGUCCGGAUGGACAAUCAUGUACUUUCCAGCCUUAUGUUGCAAAUAUAGCUAUCAAUUUAUGGGGUCGAGACUUACUUAUAGCAUUGGAUAUGAGACUUACAAAUGAAAACUUUAAUAACCUAGGAUUUAAAAUGUCAAAGGACAUGGAAUAUCAGAGUGGGAAAGGUUUAGGAAAAUUCCUACAAGGAAACCCUAACCCAAUAUCAAUAACUGGAAAGACAGACAAAAAAGACUGGGGCCGGGUGCGGUGGCUCACGCCUGUAAUCCCAGCACUUUGGGAGGCAGAGGCGGGUGGAUCAUGAGGUCAGGAGAUCGAGACCAUCCUGGCUAACACAGUGAAACCCCACCUCUACUAAAAAUACAAAAAAUUAGCCGGGCGUGGUGGCGGGCGCCUGUAGUCCCAGCUACUCGGAAGGCUGAGGCAGGAGAAUGGCGUGAACCCGGGAGGCAGAGCUUGCAGUGAGCAGAGAUUGCGCCACUGCACUCCAGCCUGGGCGACAGAGCGAGACUCCGUCUCAAAAAAAAAAAAAAAAAAAGGAUUGGGACAUCAGGAUUUAUUAUUGGGGUCAUUGAUACUUUUCCACCACCCACUGCCUUACCUUUAGAAUGGCUUAGUGACAAACCUGUGUGGGUGGAUCAAUGGCCCCUAACACAGGAGAAGCUAGCUCAACUUCAUCUGUUGGUGAAAGAAUAAUUGGAUGCAGGACAUUUAGAGGAGUCAGUUCCCGGAAUUCACCGAUGUUUGUUAUCCUAAAAAUAGUCCAGAAGAUGGCGACUGCUGCAUGACUUGAGAGCUAUUAGUGCACAAAUUAAACCAAUGGGUGCAUUACAGCAGGGCUUGCCAUCCCCAGCAGCCAUUCCUAAAAACUGGCCUCUUGUAGUAAUAGAUCUUAAAGAUUUUUUCUUUACUAUACCAUUACAUGAGAAGGAUAAGCCUCGAUUUGCCUUCUCUGUGCCUUCUAUUAAUCAGAGACAUGCUACAAGCCAAAUGGGUGAGACAUCCGGUCAUGUAUGGUGACACUGUCUGUCGCCGUUUGCUCAUAUGGAGAUUUCUAAACAAUUAAAAACUGACAAUAGACCUGCUUAUACUAGUCAUGCUUUUCAAACUUUCCUACAGCUUUGGGCUAUGACCCAUAAAACAGGAAUUCCUUACAUUAUAGACCAGGCACAUCAAACGUUACAACGCAUGUUGAGAAAACAAAAAAAAAGGGUGAUUGGACACCAGCCACCACCUCAAACAAAACUAAGUUUAUCUUUAUUUACUUUAAAUUUUUUGACUCCUUGUAUGAAUGGUAAGACUGCAGCAGAAAGACAUUGGCAAGUGUUAGAGGAAAUUAGGAAAGUUUAUCUGAAAUUAUUAUGGAAAUCCCUGGAAGAAGGACAAUGGAAAGGUAUGGUGGAUUUACUGCUGUGGGGACAAGGGUAUGCUUAUGUUUUUACAGCAGAUGGAUAAACCAUGUGGGUGCCCUCAAGGUGCGUGCAACCAUGGAAUGGAAGACUGGAGGAACCCAUGGUGGCCAACCAUGGGCCCGGUCCCUCUGGUAUGGGCCAUGAGCCAGCUGAGCCUGAGUGCAAAAAUGGACAGAAGGCCAACUGGAGUCAUGGUGACAUCAACCCCUAUAACCUGGGGGACACUCAAGAAAACCAUGCAGGAAGCUGAGAAACUACUGGAGCGUCAAGGCCAGAAAAAACCCCUGAUUCCAUGUUCUUGGCCAUGUUAGCUAUAAUGCCCUGUGUGGUAGGUUUUCCCUUGCAGAGUCAAAAACAUAUUGGGCAUAGGUUCCCAAUCCUCCAGCAGUACAACCUGUACUUUGGAGUGACACUCCUCCUGAGAUCUAUCGUGAUCAGGGAGCAUGGGCUCCAGGACCCCUAUGUCUGGCUCCCCCGGACAUAGAACAGUUAGACUCUCAGAACAAUGUCGUCAAUUAUACUACCCCACUGGAAGGACUCCCCUUGUGUAUCACUACAAAGAUGUCGCUCAACCAUAGCUGUCUUACAACUGAAGCUCAAGCAUGGUUGAGUCACCUUGGAAAAGUUAUGUACUUAAUAGUUCUUGGUUCUAUUUAUGUAACUGGUGUGCUAACCAACCAUGCCCGGCCCAAUUGCCCCAACUGUGCUGACUAUAUGGAAUGGAUUCCCUUCAAUAGUUCUGACCUCUCUCCAUUGACCCAGUGUCUUGGCCCACUGGGUAGAAAAGAAUCUGUGUUAACUGGAGACAUUGUGGAUUGGGGAACUAAAGGUCAACUAGAUGGAAAAGAGGAAAAUCAGAAAUCAUGACACAAACUUCACUGCCAUUGGUGGCAAGCUUUGAAUACUCCUUCUUUAUACCACACCGGGAUCCAAUCCCAGUCUGCCACCUGGAUUGCUUGGCAUGGAGCAGGCUUUAGCACACCUCUUCCUCAGUGGCAUUAUCUAGGGAGGAAAGGUCCAAUUCAAGAAACAAUAUGGAAAGCAGCACUGCUGUUCACAAACGGUAGUAUCCGGGUAGGAACACUCUCUAAUACCAGUACUGCUACUCAACACAGUCUUAAUGUCACAUUUGUAAAGAAUAUCACCACUCAACUUAUGGUUUGUGGUUUUAAUCCUUAUGUCUUUUUGGCAGCUAAGGCGGACCAGCUCCAGGUAAGCAAUACUCAAUUGACCUUAAAUCUUGCUGGUUAUAUCACUGCAUUAAUCAUAGCACAUUGCAAACAUGUAAUAUCUCUACUUUGAUAUUUGGGUCACAUUCCUGGGCUAUGGAUUCUCAUUAAUCUGUCUGAGCCUUGUGAUGCCACCCCUGUUUGGCACUUUGUGAAACUUCUUCUAACUAAACUUACUCAUCAUGCCUGUAGAGCCUCAGGCAUCAUAAUUUUUGCUAUUGUUUCUUUGGUCACACUAAUCACUUCUGCUGUAAUGUCCUCUGUAGCUUUGCAUAGUUCUGUUCAAAUGGCUCAGUAUGUAGAGGACUGGAGGCAUGCAGCCAACUAAGCAUGGCUACUUCAGAGUAAAAUUAACACUGAGUUACAAACUGAAGUGGUAAUAUUAAAAUCCAUGGUUCUGUGGUUAGGGGAACAAGUACAAAGCUUACAGUUGCAACAGAAAUUGCACUGUCAUUCACACUCAUAUUUGUGUAACCAACUUAGAAUAUAACCAAAGAGUAUCCAUGGGACCUUGUAAAAGCCCAUUUGCAGGGAGCUUUCACAUCCAACAUCACCUUUGACAUUGGUGAAUUACAAAAAAAAGUUCUUGAUUUAAAUAAGCAAACUCAAGAGUUUCAGCCUUCUUUAGAAGCCUGGACUGAAUUCCAGCAAGGCCUGGAGAGCCUCAAUCCUUGGAACUAUCUAAAGUACCACAUUAACAUCUCAUAUAUAGUUCUGGGAAUAAUGUUGUUCUGUCUCUGUUUCCUGCUCAUAGCCUGUAAAAUCAGAUGGAUUGCCAAUCAGAAAAUAAAGCUGCCCAACCUGGCCUUACAUUCAUUCAAUUAAUGCAAAAACAGAAAGGGAGAGAUGUUGGGAUCCAGAAGCCUGAGGAUUGUGACCAACACAGCAUUCCACUGGAAGCUAUAUGAUCAAAGAGCAAACUGUUUAUCAUGAAUGCAGAAUGUGGGCAAACUCACAUCUGCACCUGACACUGGAAGGUAUGCUAAGGGGAGCCACUCCCUGGUGCUGUGCUCCUUGAGAUUAUCUACUGGGACAUCUGGAGCCUACUGUUUAAAGAAUGCUGUCAUGCAGGCCUACACUAAGUCAAGCAGCUGACUGACAAUCAGCCCCUUCUCCCUAUCUCCUUUACUCAAUAAAUAUAAAGGGCUCUAGAACUCAGGGCCCUUGUUCACUAGAAGCAAGGAGCCCCCUGACCCCUUCUUCCAAAUAAACUUUUUUGUCUUUGUCUUUAUUCCCA